UACGUAGGGGGCAAGCGUUGUCCGGAAUUAUUGGGCGUAAAGCGCGCGCAGGCGGCGACUUAAGUUUGGUGUUUAAGCCCGAGGCUCAACCUCGGUUCGCAUCGAAAACUGGGUCGCUUGAGUGUAGGAGAGGAAAGUGGAAUUCCACGUGUAGCGGUGAAAUGCGUAGAGAUGUGGAGGAACACCAGUGGCGAAGGCGACUUUCUGGCCUAUAACUGACGCUGAGGCGCGAAAGCGUGGGGAGCAAACAGG
rnacentral:misc_RNA from 1 species